rnacentral:lncRNA from 1 species
GUGCUCUCAUUUCAUGUACCUUCACUUACCCAAAUUAUGCAAAACCUUUUAAUAACGUUGUGUGGUAUGUGUGUAAAAACGGUCAGUGUAAGGAUGAAAUCUUCAAGGCGAAAGUCAGUAAAAAUAUUGAAAACAAAUUUGGAGAGAAAGAAACUGAAACUGGACAGAUUAAGAUGCUUGAUCCUGGCCUGACCGAAAACAACUGUAGCAUCAUCAUGAAAAACAUAAAGGCAGAAGAUAAAAAGGAAUAUGCAUUCAGAGUGGAGGGGUCACAUUCAUAUCUAUACACAUAUAAACCCACAGUCAAACUCAUCAUUCAAGAUGAGCCUAUAAUGUACGUUCCUCUUCUCAGUGAAGGAGAGGAGGCCAAUCUGACAUGUCCAGCUCCUUUUCCUUGUCCUGAAACUCCUCCUGAAAUAACAUGGUGGAUCAAGACAAGAGAGGGAAACAUCAUUGAUCUAAAGGACAACAUCAUCACACUGAUCACCUCCAAAAUCCUUUACCUCUCAACUUUGACAUUAACUCCAACCUCUGACCUGCACAAUGCCACUGUAGGAUGUGACGUCAGCUACGGAAGCAAAAACAUCAGUACGAGUGGGACCCUCGA